UGCGCAUUCAUCACUUAAUUAAUCGCUUAAUUAUACCAUUAACUUUAACUCUGCUUCAGUGUUACUUUAACACUAUUUAGAGAGGGACCAUAUGUACUCCGAUCAGAGUUGUUUUAACUCUGGUGAUUUUGCUGUGUAGUGUAUUAAAAUACAAAGGAGAAGUUCUCUGUCAUUGUUUACUCACCAUCAUGUUUGUGUCCAUGAUGCCAUGUAUGGCAUGCUUUGUGCAGAACUGGAGAAGCUGGACAAGUUUAUCAGUAAAUAAUGAUUUAAAUUUUAAGUCUUUCCCUCACUCAACUAUAUUAUAUGACCAGAAAACUUCAUACGGAAUCGUUGAUACUUUUAUGUCCUUUUUGAAGCUUGAAAGCUUAAUUCCCUAUGGAAAUUAAUUGCAUGGACAAGAGCGGCCAGUACAAAUCUGUUUUUUGUGAUCCACCGAAGAAAUAAGUAAUACAGAUUUGAAAAGAUAAAUUAUGACAUCAUUUUGAUUUAUGAAUGAACUAUUCCUUUAAUUUUAAGGGUUAGAGAGAGGGCAGCAAAUGGUCAUGCAAAGCUAAAUUACAGCUACGUUUGAUGCAAGAAACCUUGUCUAACAUAAUUAAAUGCUACAAAAGCGAUUGAGAGGAGACUAGCUGCACUUUGCUCAGCCCCUUCAAAAUUAUCCUGUUGCUUAUCUUGGAUUUGGUGGUUUAGUUUUCUUCGGUAUUGCUUAGUGAUCCAGUGCUUGCCCAUUUUAUGGGAUAGUAUGUGUUAAUCUUUUCUGUUCUUAAAAGAGCAUUUGAUAUGUUUGCUGAGUUGUUUGUUCCUCUUAGAGAUGUCAACAGAAUGUGUUUCUCUUUAUUUCAGAGCUGAUGAUUCAGCCCCAGCUCAAUUCCAUUCUCAUUCCACCUCAUGCCUGUGCACAAACCGUAGCAUCCUCCAACGAUGGCUCUGAAGGUCCUGUACAGCCUGGAUCUACUCUCACCAACAGCACCUGAGGCCGUGACUCAAAAAAAAACAAGCUCACACACCACAGCAUCUGAGCCACCACAGCGCACAUCCCUCCCUCUGACAAACACAUACACAGUCUUACACCCUCUUUACCUCAUACACGGCUCCUCCUCCCUAUAGCUCUAAUUCACACAUUUACAGACUGAUUCAGGUGUCACGCGUUUCAGAAUUACCAGCGACUGCACGGCGGUCUGGAAAGCCUGAUGUUUGCUGACUGUCUACCGAGAAACAUACUGUACACACACACACACACCGACACUCUGCCAUGUACAUGAAACAAACAACAACAAACAGAGUUACACCGCUAAUAUUUGCUUCAGAUAAUAGAGGUAGUCAAUAUCGAGAGUGCUCCGAACGGCUGCAUAGGCCCGUAGCAAAGCUCACGCGCAUCCAUAACGCAACACCGCACGUGCUUUGGAGGUCAAAUGCGAUUGGUUCAGUGGCUAGGGGCAGGUCCUCUGUCUAAUUUUUAUCUUAAUUUAUUUAAAUCGACAUUUACAGUGGAUGUUUUACCUUGAUUUGUUUAGCUAACGCUCACUCAUCCCUCUCAGUCUCCCUAUCUUAGGUAUAAUACAUUUCGCAGGGAACGAGCAGUCACGGUAAAUGAUGUAUCUUGUUGUAAAUGAAAAUGGGCGGGACUAAAUGUCGUGGUUUUAUACAGUUAUUUUAAUAUCUUACUUUUAACUUCCAGUAAAUAUAUUUGUUGUUUUCACAUGGCGAAUCGGAUGGACUAGUCUUUUCCCCUGUGGAACAAAGGCACAGCGAAGAAGAGCUGGUUGGGAAAUUGUUAAAUGUUCUUGUUGACCAUAAAGAAGGGAAAGAAUGAUUUAAAGACGUAUGCAAGACAAUAGCAUAUUAAUAUUGUUGUACUGAAGUGACUUUAUGUUCCUGGGCAUUAUCAUUAACUUUUAAUGAUGCUCCAGGUCUAGGCUUAAUUUAUUCUUGUGAGAUUACAGAUUCUUCAUCCGUUCAAAGUCAUUUUCGAAUGACGUCAGGUCUGUAGACUGAACCUUGCGUCGUAAUUGAGUGUUUCAGUACGUUUUCAAUCAACAUCAUUUUUCUGAUAAAUUAAGCUACUCUUAUUAAAGGCCUUUGUGGUAGAACAGUUCUAUAAAAUGUUUGUGAAAUCUCCACACGAGUUGAGAAUCGUAACGUCAAUGGUCUCAGUCAAUCGUAUCGAUCCGCAAACUGUCCAAAAUGACUGAAAUCUUUUCUUUUCUUGAGAACAGAUCUGUUAGCUUCUCAAUAAACCCUGUUCUGAGGCCCUCAAUGGCCUAUCUUCCACCUUUCUGUGAUGUUCAUGCUAUUCUCCUGUUCUGUUUCAUUUUUUUUUUAUGUUCAGUGGGUGUGUGUUGACCAGUUUUGCUCCACCCAUCUGUAUGUAAAUAUACUUUGUUUUUUAAGCUCUGUGCAGGAUGUAAAUAUCAACACUGUACCACUUUUGUGUUUUUGUUUGUCUUUCUCUCCCUUUAUCUCUCUUGGGCCGUCUUCUCUUAGAUUUGAAGAAGGCAGCGUUCAUUUUGUUUGUCAUUUACAGUAUUUAUUGCUUUGUAAUGUAAUGUUGGGGCUGAAAGUUUCACUUUUUUGUGAAAUGUUAACCCUUAUCAGAGUACUGUAUGUCAGUUCAUAAGCUCAGCACUUGAUUUGGGAGGGAAAUGGAGUCAAAUUUAAGCUUCAUGUCCAACAUGGUCAUCCUUUGUUCUCUACUUGGCAAUUUGAGCACAUUUUUGUAAAGGUGCACUGGAAUUAAUGCUCAUACGGUCUGUUUGUUCAUGAAAAGGACAGUCUCUGAAGUGAAUCAGCUGCUUGAAAUAUUGCAGCUCUUUGUGGCGGUUUUGCCAAUCUGGCUUGAAGCCUCAAAGACAGUGGAAUGUGUUUAUUCUUUAAUCUGACAUCUGUGAAUCAAGCCCACAGCAACAUGUAUGUGUGCUCUUAGAAAUGUGAAUUUUUUUUAUAUACAAAUGUGUAUUUGGCUUUGAAGUUUAUUUUCCUCCCCUUUAAGGCUUGUUAAAUGAAUUGAGACCAGCCUGCAAAGUCUCUUCCUCUUCAUUGCUCCUGUAAUCCUGCCCUCCCCCUCGUCUCUGCCUUAAGCCAAACAUUAGCCUGUUAUUACCCCCCCCCCCCCCUUUUUUUUUUUCUUUUGGGUUUUGUUUUAUGGGGGGGGGUAAUUGUUGGAACUUUCUGCCUCAAUGUUCUGGCCCAGGGGAAUUGUGUCCUGAGACAAAGAGAGACGAAUGGAGAGCUUGUCAGAAUAAAUUGAACUCAUUUAAUAAAGUGAGUUUUUAGAGACA